AAAGGGAGACCUAAUUCAGGUAGGAGACGAAAAAAAAGUAGUCCCUACCAAGAAUCAAUCCCAAAAGGUCGGAGCGAGGCGAAAUUGGCUUUCAAACUAGGUUCUGGGUUCACACAAGACCUGAAUCAGGAACAAGGGCUAUUAGCUCAGGUGGUUAGAGCGCACCCCUGAUAAGGGUGAGGUCCCUGGUUCGAGUCCAGGAUGGCCCACCUGUACAGGUGGCAAAAAGAAAGAAGCGAGGAAUCAGCACCUUAUCUUAUAUACAUAUAUAAGAGAGAAUGCUGGCUCUGAGUACAGAGUCCAGAGGAACCUUGAAAACUGCAUAGAGCUAGGUGAAAAGGCCAAAAAAGAAGACCGCAAG
rnacentral:tRNA from 1 species